UGAAUACGAGACGCUAAGGCGUCGAAGUAGUGUAUGUCAUACUUCCAAGAAAAGCUUGCACUGUCAUAAGUAAAAAAUGCCUGUACCAUAACCGACACAGGUGGGUAGGUAGAGUAUACUAAGGGGCGCGAGAUAACUCUCUCUAAGGAACUCGGCAAAAUAACUCCGUAACUUCGGGAGAAGGAGUACCUUAUUCUAUAAGGUUGCAAUAACAAGAUCCAAGCAACUGUUUAUCAAAAACACAGGUCUCCGCUAAGUCGUAAGACGAUGUAUGGGGGCUGACGCCUGCCCAGUGCCAGAAGGUUAAAGAAGUCGGUUAGCAUUAGCGAAGCUGGUAACUGAAGCCCUGGUGAACGGCGGCCGUAACAAUAACGGUCCUAGGGUAGCGAAAUUCCUUGUCGGGUAAGUUCCGACCCGCACGAAAGGCGUAAUGAUUUGGAUACUGUCUCGGAGAGGGGCUCGGUGAAAUAGACUUGUCUGUGAAGAUGCGGACUACCUGCACCAGGACAGAAAGACCCUAUGAAGCUUUACUGUAACUUGAAAUUGAAAUUGGACUUUAUUCGCGCAGUAUAGGUGGGAGGUGUUGAUUAUAAUCUUGCGGGAUUAUUGGAGCCAUCAGUGAGAUACCACUCUUGUAAUGUUAGAUUUCUAACUUUGAAUCAUUAUCUGGUCAAAGGACAGUUUCAGGCGGGCAGUUUGACUGGGGCGGUCGCCUCCCAAACGGUAACGGAGGCGUACAAAGGUUUCCUCUGAACGGGUAGAAAUCGUAUCUAGAGUGUAAAGGCAUAAGGAAGCUUGACUGUGAGACCUACAAGUCGAACAGGGACGAAAGUCGGUCUUAGUGAUCUGACGGUACUGAGUGGAAAGGCCGUCACUCAACGGAUAAAAGUUACUCUAAGGAUAACAGGCUGAUCUCCCCCAAGAGUUCACAUCGACGGGGAGGUUUGGCACCUCGAUGUCGGCUCAUCGCAUCCUGGGGCGGUAGUACGUCCCAAGGGUUGGGCUGUUCGCCCAUGAAAGCGGUACGCGAGCUGGGUUCAGAACGUCGUGAGACAGUUCGGUCCAUAUCCGGUGUAGGCGUUAGAAUAUUGAGAGGAGCCUUCUUUAGUACGAGAGGACCGAGAAGGACAUACCUCUGGUGUACCAGUUAUCGUGCCAACGGUAAACGCUGGGUAGCUAUGUAUGGAGUGGAUAACCGCUGAAAGCAUCUAAGUGGGAAGCCCACCUCAAGAUAAGUAUUCCC
rnacentral:rRNA from 1 species